rnacentral:snoRNA from 2 species
GUGCCUGCGGGAUGAACAGGUCCCUGACAUGUACAACCACUUAAUCACUUUGUCAGCUGAUAUUUUGUUUUCAGCUGAUCACUAAGGAUGGGAAAUUU